CAACCCGUUGCCCUACCGAGCCCCACCGAUUCUCUACCGAAAUAUUUCUACCGAAUUAUUACCGUACCCUACCGUACCCUACCGAAAUGUUUUGGUAGGGCAACGACACUCAAUAUUAUUACAAUGGUAUUGCCCUACCGUACCGAAAUAUUAUUAAUAAAUAAAAUUUUAUUUUAAUAAUUAAUUUAUUAUAUAUAGAAAGUUAAUAUAGUAUCCUAACUAACUAUUAUGAGUUAA
rnacentral:lncRNA from 1 species